rnacentral:rRNA from 1 species
GUAGGGAAUAUUGGGCAAUGGUCGGAAGACUGACCCAGCCAUGCCGCGUGCAGGAAGACGGCCCUCUGGGUUGUAAACUGCUUUUAUCUGGGAAGAAAAAGGCCAUGCGUGGCAAAUUGCCGGUACCAGAUGAAUAAGCACCGGCUAACUCCGUGCCAGCAGCCGCGGUAAUACGGAUGGUGCGAGCGUUGUCCGGAUUUAUUGGGUUUAAAGGGUGCGUAGGCGGCUGAUUAAGUCAGCGGUGAAAGACUUCGGCUUAACCGGAGCAGUGCCGUUGAUACUGGUUGGCUUGAGUGUCGGAGGGGUACAUGGAAUUGAUGGUGUAGCGGUGAAAUGCAUAGAUACCAUCAGGAACACCGAUAGCGAAGGCAUUGUACUGGCCGACAACUGACGCUGAUGCACGAAAGUGUGGGGAUCGAACAGGAUUAGAUACCCUAGUAGUCC